UACAACAUAAGAAGAAUUGUAAUUAUUACAAGUCCUGAUAGUACCCAAAGUGCAUAACUUAUUAAAAUAGUUGGAAGGGUGAAGCCUUUCCAUAAGAUAUAUACAUAAACAUUCUAAGCUUCAAGGCCUCCACAUGAAGUAACUAACCAAAAGAUAAGGGAAUAAAACUUCUCCUGCAAAAACAACAGGGGAUAAAACCCUGAGUACGCAAUUACUCAGCAAGACUUACCCGACUAAAGAAAAGACUCUCAAGGGUAUGCUAGCUGAUUGGGAAUCAAGGUAAAGUUUAUCAAUGAUCAAAGACUCCUUUUUGCAGAAAAGCUUGCUACCAGUUGAUCCUUAAGCCAAAUUUUAUUUCACUAGUUAGGUUAUUACCUGAAUCUAUAUUUGCAUGGUCUAGUUCAAGCACUUGGCCUAUACUAGUUGCAUUUUAUUCAUUCUCAUAUUUCACUUGCUAACUACGAUGAUGGUCACCGGGAUGAGUCUCCAUAACCGAGGAGCAACGACGAUUCGAACCGAUUAUACCCAGCUGGGGAUCUCUAACCACACGACAUAUGUAGCACUUAACCCUUGCAUAUGUCAACCGUUCCCACGGAGUCCUCCACUACAUGAACAGGUCCGCGCCACCCGAGAGAACAUUACCUACCAGGCGUGCUCUGUGCCAGGAGGGUACAUGCUACUCUCGCCAUCUCUCCACUCCCAGUGCGCGAUUGUCCCUUCACGUAUGGAAUAGCCGGGUUCAAGCUUACCCUGUCCCAUACCAGGGUAUGUGGCUAGUUGCAAAGUCUCAACCACAACAGGCCAGUCAACGGUACAGUCCUUAAUCGACACAAACGGGCGACUCUGUCUGCUCAGCGCCUGGUCUAGAUUUAUUAACCAUUUUCCCAUUUUUGGUACCCGACAGGGGUACUCUUUUCCAAUGAUGAGCCCACUCCGGCCGAAGUGGAGUCAUCACUUAGUUUGCUUUGAUUUUUGAAUCAAAAAGCCCAUAACCAAUGUUCCACAAUCAUUCUUUUGAAAACAAAUGAUUUUUCAGUUUCUAAGCAGGGUUAAGCAUUAUCAGUUCUUUUUAUAAAUCAGGGAUCAAGGUAUAGUAUUCAAAUUCCAAGGAAUGGUAAUGCAUCAAUUGUUCAUCACACAACUCCUAUCACCUAAUGCAUCAUUUAAGGUGAUAAAGCAUUUAAAACACAAGGAAGGGGCAAAUGCACCGGGGCUUGCCUUAUUACAGGAGGAGAUCUGAGAUCUUCUAUCACGAUAGGCAGUUAGAUGGAGUCCACCACUGGAUCAAUAGCACUGGAGUAGGUUCCAUCUUCACAAGGACCAAUUCUUGUUCUUGGUGUUCUACAUGAAAUGAUAUGAAUAUGGAUAUUUGCUUAAACUAGGAAUAUGCAACUUGCAAAGGAGACAACACAUAUUAUUCCUAGACUUAACAUAUAAGCUAUCAUCACAAGCCAGAACUACCAGGGAGCUACUUAUCCUUAGAAUUCAUCUAACCAUUCACAACUUGCUAAACAAUUUCAUCCUUUACUAAGACAUCAGGUGCCUUAAUUACCGAGGGGUAAAACUCUUUUUCUUUAUUGAGCAAUAAUUAAUUUACUAAGCAAAUCUUGUCCAAACAGUUCCAAACUUUAUCCAAGGGUUCAUAUGCUCAAGAUAAGCUUACACAAAUUUUCCUACAAUUUUUAGUGCUCUAUUUUUAUUACUAAAAUUUCAUAUAAGUUCAUUUAAAGCAGGUUUUAUUCAUCUAAAAAUAUUUAUUUGCUACAAAAACUCCAAAACUAUUUUUACCUGGAACGCUACCAAUUUACCUAUCUAACCAAAUUUGUUUUACUAAUUUAGCACUUUUCCACAAUUUUUGGUAUAAAUAAACAGACAUUAGGUAAAAGAAAAUGCUAAACACAUGAACAGUCUCGGGCCAGAACUAACCCAGCCAGCCCAACUCCAGGCAAAACCGGCCCACUCAGACAGCGCUUACAGCCCUAGGCUCCAGCACCGCGCGCGCCCGCGCUUCCUCUGCGCGUGUCGGCGGCUUCCAACUUCGAUGGUGUUAAGCCGGAACGACGAUGCAGUAGAGUUCCCAACCAUGGUGGAGCAGGCACUUGCGACUCACCACAGAGCAGACCAACCCCAGAUCACGCACGCAACCGGCCCCAGAUAAGGUCUGCCACGGCGAGACCGUUCCCAGCGGCGUUCACCGGCGGCACCGCGGCGUUCCCGACGAGACACUGCAGUAGAGAUGAAAAGGGUAGUGCCAUGAGCUUCACUGGCUUAAGGAGAUUACUGAACGCGAGUGACACGGGUGAGCAACUCCUCGAGACGACACGGCCACAGUGAGAUGAGAAACUGAUGAGCUCAGUCACCAGAAAAGGGAGAUUGGCAUGCGAUGAACAAGAGCAGAUCGAACCUGAUGGCCGGGGAGAGUAAACACCGACGUGAACAUGAACCACAACACUCACACGAUGCACUCUCGCUAGAACUCAAGAACGGGAAGAGACUUCACUGCCCUGGCCCUGCAGCGACUAGAUAAAAGGGUAGUGCAAAGUGAUUGAGCUCGGCCGGUUCACGGUAGAGAAGGCUUUGAUGGCGCCAGCACAACAUGGCUCAAACACGUGGCUAAGCUUCCAAGCCCCACGCCAACAUGCAAGCAACACCAAAGCAUCGAACUUGGGUUGGUUCACAGGCACACCACAAAUAUCCACUCUGCUCAGAAAUUCAGACAUAGAGGAGAGCAGAUAAGGACCCACUGUUCCCAGACAGUCCAAAACUUAGAUAUUUCAGUGGGGAGAGGCAUCUCCCUUGGCCACGCAUUUUACUCUUAUCUCCAUCCACAUAUUUAAAGUAACAUUUGCAGGGAAAAGGAUCUUCUUUAUUUACCAACUGAAACUCUGAAUUCAACCAAAUCAGGCCUGCUGCUCCCAUUCCCCUCCUCACUGUUUAAGCCCUUUGAUUUUAAAUUCCCCUUAACAAUAGACCAGACUUACUUAACCAAAAUUACUCUCCAAACCAAGCUCUAUCACUUUGGUAUAACAACCCAGGGCUAAAAACGUCUUGGAACAAAAACUAUGAUGCCCAAAAGUAGAGAAAAACCAACACUGGCAGCUCAAUCUCAAUUGACUGAAACAGCCCAUACCAAACUAACAUUAAGUUGUGUAACAGAAUUUUCUCUAAUUUCUUCCGAGUAACAAGCCCAACUCUUUAUAUAAAAAUUGUUCACCUUAUAACAACCUCCAACAUUUCUAUGUACUUCUUAAUCUGCAACUUGAUGGAAUGGUCGCAAGAGUGCCCCAAACUGAUUCAAGUUUCAGCUAUCAGCACCUGAAUCCCACACUUUUCUGACAGAACCCCCAUCUUAAUCCCCUUAAAUCUCAUGAUUCCAAAUGGUAACAGUGAAACGACCACAACAUAAAUUGCUCUCCCAACAUCCUUCUACAUCUUUGCUGCAGAAUCCCCAGUCCAAAACUCCAUGGAUUUGGUACUACAGACCUCCAAAGUCGAGCACAAAUUCACAAAAACUCAGUUUGCAGCUAACUGAACCAGAGUUCAGACCAUACCCAACUGACAGAGGAUGUUUAGGUGCAGUUUAUUCUUAGAUUUGUACAGCACUAAGCCUACCUCUCCUUAGAAAACUUACUCACCUUACUUUGGUCUCCAAGUUCUCUACAGAAACUACGGCCUAAAAGUGCAUGGAUUGAUCAACAAGGAGGUCCAAACUGAGCAUCAUACUGAACUUUCAGUUUCAGCUAUUUGAACAAAAAUUCAGUUAGUGCACACUGACAAUCCAUUUUUGGGCAAAUUUUACUUUCCUUUUUGUUUGUGAUCAAGCCCAACUCACUUAAAGGAGUCUGUUCACUAUAAUAUGGUCUUCAACUAAUCUACAGAAACCAUAGUC
rnacentral:lncRNA from 1 species